UACAGAGGUCUCAAGCGUUGUUCGGAUUCAUUGGGCGUAAAGGGUGCGUAGGCGGCGCGGUAAGUCGGGUGUGAAAUCUCGGGGCUUAACUCCGAAACUGCAUUCGAUACUGCCGUGCUUGAGGACUGGAGAGGAGACUGGAAUUUACGGUGUAGCGGUGAAAUGCGUAGAUAUCGAUAAGGAAGACCAGUGGCGAAGGCGGGUCUCUGGACAGUUCCUGACGCUGAGGCACGGAAGGUCAGGGGAGCAAACGGG
rnacentral:rRNA from 1 species